UACGUAGGGGGCGAGCGUUGUCCGGAAUUACUGGGUAUAAAGGGCGUGUAGGCGACCCUCUAAGUUGAAUGUGAAAUCUCCCGGCUCAACUGGGAGAGGUCAUUCAAUACUGGAGAGAUUUGAGGGCAGAAGAGGGAAGUGGAAUUCCCGGUGUAGCGGUAAAAUGCGUAGAUAUCGGGAGGAACACCAGUGGCGAAGGCGGCUUCCUGGUCUGUCCCUGACGCUGAGGCGCGAAAGCUAGGGGAGCAAACGGG
rnacentral:rRNA from 1 species